rnacentral:lncRNA from 1 species
AUUAACCUAGGCAGCACGACAUAGACAUUGAAAAAAAUUUUUUUUUAGAAAAAUCUGCAUUCUAUUAGACAUGUAGAAAUUAUAUUCCCCGUUAUUUACUUCCCAUCUCUCUAUUAUACUCCACAUUACAAUUUGGUGGGAAUAGAAAAGUUGAUCUGUAUCACAUAGAAAUGUGAACCUGGCAGCAAAACAGGUUUCCAUUAAAAAUAGAGAAAAGUGGACCAAAAGAAGAGGCAGAAAGGUUUUAUUACAUUUAUUUUUGUCCAUUUCUGUAAUUUUUCCUGUUUUAUUUUAAAACCCUGGUCACAUGGUGCCAGAAUUUAUAUUUAUGGUUAAAUAAAUAUAUCCAUCAGACCCAAGUUUAUAUAAAGAAAAUAAUGCUUGUCUCGGGUAGAGAGGUAUUUUUAAAUCUUCAUAUUUUUAUAUUGGUUUAGUAGCUUUAGGCUAUCUUCCCCGACCCCCAGGCUCUCAGUUCUGAUUUUCUCACUUCCUGUCUAGCAUUGGACUUUGUCAAUGUGCCUGUCCGUACAGGACAUCCUCACCCCUUCAUUGUUCUUUAAUUCUGUUCUUGCCUUUCUGUCUUACCCACAUGUAGUCUCAGACUUUCUCUGAUGAAUGACUCAAUAGUUAAGAGAAACCAAGCAAAACGUCACCCUUGAAGUAAAUUACUGGCCUAGUUUAUGUGCCAAGUCACUUUUAGAAUUCCAUAAUUAUUUUUUAAUCAGGUACAUCAGUGAAUUUUUAAAUACCAAUAAGCAAUAUGAAAAGGCUCAUGUUUACAUGCUUUUCAAAAUGAAGUAUUGCCAUGGCCUGAGGUUUGAACUUUCUAGUAAAGAGCAUUAUUGAUUCUUUGUUACUGCCUCAAUCAUCCUGUGGGGUAAUACCUCCAAAUCACAGGAAGAUGACUGGGUUUGGGUUAGUAGUUAAAGAAGAGGAAGGGGAGUCUUCUCAAGACCAAAUCCUAAUACAAACUGUUUGAGAUAUAUUUGUUACAGUCAAGUUUCAGUCUUGACUUAAUGUGAUUGAAAGCUCUGUGCUGAGGAUUCUGGGUCUUUGAUCAAUUAGUAAUGGGUGCAGAAUUUGGAUUGUAAGCAUACAUACCACAUAUUUCUAUUCUUAAUAAAUCUACAUGAAGUAACAGAUUUUUAAAAAACAAAAACAAAAACAAAAAAGCACCAUGACUUUGUGGAAGUAAAGAACUUGGUCUCCAACCAGGUCAUGUGGGUCAAAAUUAUCACUGCAUCUUUAUCUAGUUGUAUAAUACUGGGAAAUCUGGUUAACCCUUCUGCAAUCCAGGAAAUGGAUAUAAUACCUGUAUUACAUGAUAGUAUAAUAUAAUUCCUAAACAUCAGUAAUUAAUCAGAACAAUACAUACAAGGCACAUAGGCCCUGUAGAGCCUUUAUAAGUGGUAGAUGUGCUAGUUAUUUCCAUUUUAUCAUCUCACACUCAUCUUCAAAAAAAAAAAAAAAGUCUUUAGAUCAUGAGGCUCCUGUGGGAAGGAGGGGUACCCAAGCUAAGUCAAUCACAUUAUAC